AUCACAUCUUGGCCUUUUGGCUAAGAUCAUGUGUAGUAACUGUUCUUAUGAGUUUAAAAUGUCAUCCCAAGAAUAAGUCAAAUUACACCUCUC
rnacentral:snRNA from 1 species